GACGAACGCUGGCGGCGUGCCUAACACAUGCAAGUCGAACGGAGUUAAGACUUCGGUUUUAACUUAGUGGCGAACGGGUGAGUAACGCGUGAGGAACCUGCCUCUCAGUGGGGGACAACAGUUGGAAACGACUGCUAAUACCGCAUAACAUCCACGGACCGCAUGAUCUGUGGAUCAAAGCUUUAUGUGCUGAGAGAUGGCCUCGCGUCUGAUUAGCUAGUUGGUGGGGUAACGGCCCACCAAGGCGACGAUCAGUAGCCGGUCUGAGAGGAUGAACGGCCACAUUGGGACUGAGAUACGGCCCAGACUCCUACGGGAGGCAGCAGUGGGGAAUAUUGGGCAAUGGGGGAAACCCUGACCCAGCAACGCCGCGUGAAGGAAGAAGG
rnacentral:rRNA from 1 species